rnacentral:tRNA from 1 species
AUCUUGAGAUCGGGCGUUCGACUCGCCCCCGGGAGAUAU